GAUUAAAUUGGUGCUCUAGUGGGUGGGGCAGACCCUGGGCUAGCAGGCCUGAGGGAGAACUCCAAUGGCGUCUGUGUCAGCACGCCCACACCAGGCCACAACAAUGGCCGCCGCCAAUGUCCCAGUCCCUGGAGAGGUCUCACCUCUCACCGAGAUGCACUCAGGGCCUAUCAGGCGAGGAUGCACCUCGAGUUCCUGUGAAAAGUGAAGUCUCCUGCGAUGCAGAAAACUCUACAUGUCCUGAUGUUGAAAUGAAUAGUCAAAUUGACAGUGUAAAUGACCCAACAGAGAAUCAACAAGAAAAUUAACUAGUAGAGGCACAAGAUGACGCGAAGGAACAAAGAAAUGGAAGUCCUCAAUAUCGCAGGCCUCUCCUGGCCCUGGGGCUUGUGGGAGGACAGCAGCGCCCGCU